GUUAAACAUUUGGCUAAUGCAUUGAAGAAUACAUUGAAAGAGACAGGUCAGGAAGUGGUUAGAUUAGCUCAAAGACUAAGAAUAGCAACACUUAUUCAGAAAAAUCCUUAGUCAUUGACAACAGUUCACAAAUAGGUAAUGGAAAAAGUUGUAGUGCGGGCUAUCUGCAUGUCUUGUGAGGGACUGUCUUGUGACUUUUGAGUGUAUGAGGAAUGCAGCUCUGAGUCAGCACAGAGGAACGCCGGUGAAAGCCAAUACGAGACAGAGGAUGGAUUAUAUGAGGAGGGAAAGUGCCAUGCAAUCCGUCUCCUUCUCCAGGUUUUAGAAUGGGACGUAGCCUGGAACAACAGUGCCCCCUGGUGGACCUGCUGCAGCAGACAGGGCCUGGAGUCUGCAGCCGCAAUUUGAACUGCCCGACCUAUGCAGUGCCACAGCUCCCCCUACAGGCCAAAGAACAAAAGACAACAACAACAAAAAAAAUUCUUUUUAUUUGACUUAGAAAACGUUACUCCUGAUCAAAAGGGGAAACGGUGCAAUCAUCAGGUGAUGCACAGACAUAAAUGCACAUAGAAAGUAUACAAAAGAUAAAAAGAUAAAAAAA